rnacentral:rRNA from 1 species
UACGGAGGGAGCUAGCGUUGUUCGGAAUUACUGGGCGUAAAGCGCACGUAGGCGGCUAUUCAAGUCGGGGGUGAAAGCCCGGGGCUCAACCCCGGAACUGCCCUCGAAACUAGGUAGCUAGAAUCUUGGAGAGGCGAGUGGAAUUCCGAGUGUAGAGGUGAAAUUCGUAGAUAUUCGGAAGAACACCAGUGGCGAAGGCGACUCGCUGGACAAGUAUUGACGCUGAGGUGCGAAAGCGUGGGGAGCGAACAGG